rnacentral:lncRNA from 1 species
GACUUACCGGGUCUUUAAUUGGCCAAUCUGGAAACCGGAGUGUAUCACACAGUUGUUUGAGGUAAUAAAUAUUACAAAAUAGUUCAUUUUCGAGUUGUGGAUAGUUGAUUAUAGGAAUGGGGCAAUACUGAUAAAGUGCUCUUGUGUUACUCUGAAGACGAGGUGUGAAAUCCGCGAGAUGGGCAGCAAUCUUCUCUAUCAUCAGGCGCCUACAAUC